rnacentral:rRNA from 1 species
UGAGGAAUAUUGGUCAAUGGACGGAAGUCUGAACCAGCCAUGCCGCGUGCAGGAUGACGGCUCUAUGAGUUGUAAACUGCUUUUGUACGAGGGUAAACUUGGAUACGUGUAUCCAACUGAAAGUAUCGUACGAAUAAGGAUCGGCUAACUCCGUGCCAGCAGCCGCGGUAAUACGGAGGAUCCGAGCGUUAUCCGGAUUUAUUGGGUUUAAAGGGUGCGUAGGUGGUUUUAUAAGUUAGAGGUGAAAGCUAGAUGCUUAACAUUUAAAUUGCCUCUAAUACUGUAGAACUAGAGACUAGUUGCAGAAGGCGGAAUGUGUGGUGUAGCGGUGAAAUGCUUAGAUAUCACACAGAACACCGAUUGCGAAGGCAGCUUUCUAAGCUAUGUCUGACACUGAGGCACGAAAGCGUGGGGAGCAAACAGGAUUAGAUACCCUGGUAGUCCACGCUGUAAACGAUGAUAGCUCGUUGUCGGCGAUAUACCGUCGGUGACUAAGGGAAACCGAUAAGCUAUCCACCUGGGGAGUACGUUCGCAAGGAUG